GCUUGUUGGUGGGGUAACGGCCUACCAAGGCGACGAUGUCUAGGGGCUCUGAGAGGAGAAUCCCCCACACUGGUACUGAGACACGGACCAGACUCCUACGGGAGGCAGCAGUAAGGAAUAUUGGUCAAUGGAGGGAACUCUGAACCAGCCAUGCCGCGUGCAGGAAGACGGCCCUACGGGUUGUAAACUGCUUUUGCACGGGAAUAACCCUCAUUAUGUAUAAUGAGCUGAAUGUACCGUGAGAAUAAGGAUCGGCUAACUCCGUGCCAGCAGCCGCGGUAAUACGGAGGAUCCGAGCGUUAUCCGGAAUUAUUGGGUUUAAAGGGUGCGCAGGCGGGGAUCUAAGUCAGGGGUGAAAGACGGUGGCUCAACCAUCGCAGUGCCUUUGAUACUGGAUUUCUUGAAUGUAUCUGAGGUAGGCGGAAUGUGGCAAGUAGCGGUGAAAUGCAUAGAUAUGCCACAGAACACCAAUUGCGAAGGCAGCUUACCAAAGUAUGAUUGACGCUGAGGCACGAAAGCGUGGGGAUCGAACAGGAUUAGAUACCCUGGUAGUCCACGCCCUAAACGAUGAACACUCGAUGUCGGCGAUAGACAGUCGGCGUCCAAGCGAAAGCGUUAAGUGUUCCACCUGGGGAGUACGCCCGCAAGAUUAAAACUCAAAUG
rnacentral:rRNA from 1 species